GCUGAGACUCAGCUGCUGACUCGUUGGCUCGAGAGCUCACAAUUAAGAUUGAUAUCAGUGCUUAGUUAAGGUGGUGUGCUUCUGAUCCAACGAUGCAGGAGCUGCAUUCAGUCG
rnacentral:pre_miRNA from 1 species